CGAAUUGCGAUAAGUAAUGUGAAUUGCAGAAUUACGUGAAUCAUCGAAUCUUUGAACGCAUAUUGCA
rnacentral:rRNA from 2 species